rnacentral:lncRNA from 1 species
UCAAAAUACCUGUCUAGUCAUUCUUUGUCUGAAAAUACUUCGUGUUUCUAGUCAAAGAGGGGCAGCUGUAGACAUGUGAUUUUUGAGCCUCCCCGAGAUUUCACCCAUUUUAGCGUAAAAUAUUUAGUUUAGGCCUAAUAUCGAUAUUUCAAUUAGUUUUGACUCUUUUACUUUAUUUUAUCUAAAAAUAAAAAGUACCAAAAUAUUUCUUCUUUUUAGUUGUUGUUAGUUUAUAUACCUUUGGUAAAACUAAAAAAUAAUACAAAAAUAGUACCUUAUUAUUUUAUACGAUAUAUGAAAAUACCAAAAAAAAGUUUUUUUUAAUGAUUAGUCUUAUCUUAAUGGUUAUUUUAUCUAAGUAGGAUUAAUUGGUAAAUGAGGUCAUAUUUUUAGUCUUGUUCAUGGAGAAAGAAUAAAAUUUGGGCUCAAACAACCCAUUUUAAGCCUAAUUUUCGGACGUAGCCCAUAAUUCCCAAGCCCAUAAUUCCUAGGUCCAUACCCCUUAACCUAAAAAAAACCUACAAAAACUAACCUAUACCCCUAAGAGAUAAAAUCCGCCGUUUAUGACCUUGAAAGACCCCCUCCCUAACGUCUUCUUGUCCUUCACAAGAAGAGGGGAUCGAUACACAAAACAAAAACCUGAAGCCAUAAGCAGAGAACGAGAACCGGGGGACCUUCAACUGUUUCACUCAUCUGAAUUUGCUUCUUCUUCAGUCUGAAUACACACACACACACACACACACAGAAACCAAUGAAGACCUAGAUCCGGUAGAGCUAGGCUUUUCAAUGGCAGAACACCUUUCCCUCAGCCAGAUCCCGAUCUUCUUCAACCUAACCAACGGCCCUUGCUCUCUUCAAACGCACAAAUAGCCGCUCACUUUCCUUCACCAACCCUUUCCAUCGCUGAUCCUUCGGCUUCAAAGUUUCAGAAAAUUGGAGAGGAAAAUUAGGUGAGUGAAGAGUCGAAUUUCAGUGUCAUUUUUCGAUUUUGUUUCGUAAAUAGGGUCGAGCUGAGGUUUGAAGUCGUUGAUGCCCGAGGUUUGCCGAUCGAGCUCCAUGUCCCUCUCUUUCUCUUGAUGUUAAUUGAAGUAUUAUGGCAGACUAAAUUUGGUUUGUCAAUAUUGAGAUUCACUCACCUCUGUUUGUUUUCGGUUUCUACAUGUGAAUUGAGUUCUGAAAUUUUCCGUUCUGCAAUUUGAUAUGAAUUUGUCUAGUUUCUUAUUCUAUUCUCCUCUCUACUGACUUAUGAUCAUAUCUGAGAGCCUUUUUAGUUGUUAAGCUCAUAUUUGGUAUUCUAUUGACAUAAUUUUGGUGAAGAAUCAAGAUAAAAAGAAGUAAGGACAUAGUCAAACUAAAAAUAGUACGAAAGUUGAAGUGAUUCUAAACACUUCUAACCUUUUCAAUGAUGUAAGUACUUGAUUUGCUAUUGAGUUUUCUCUUUGCAACGGUGCCUCUACCAAUAUAUUUGUUGACAGAUUAGAAGCAUCAAGGACGAAGAAAACUAGUUGCAGACCCAACAAUCUGUCUUGUUUGCAUCAUAACUUUUAAAAUCAUUCAUAAUCUCGCCACACCGUGCUUUGUCAUUUGUGGUGAAUAUUUUAUUUGAACGUUUUCAUUGCCUUAAAAUGAAUGUUGUGAAUUAAUUCGAUUGAGCUUUCAGUGCAUGAAUUAAUUUGUAUAUAAUUUUCUUUUAGAGUUUAAUUGUAUAGUGCUUUAGGUGGAUUAUGUAGAGUGCCUAAUGUUUCUUGUUUGGUCUCUUAAAAUAGAAAUGAGGAGCUGGGUUAUUCGAGAAAUAUCAUAUGGCCCUUAUCAUCUUUAAGCCAUCUUUCUUUAUCUUUUCCUUUCCCAUCUUAUGUUAUUUGUUUUCUUUAUCUGAUUAUUUAUUUUAUAAUAUUAGAUGUCUCUUGGAUAUUUACUUGUCAUAUACGUUGAUCUCUUUAAUUUGUGUGAAUUAAAUCGUUUGCAACAUGCCGAGAGGGUUUGGGACUUAAACAUGAAAAGAGACUAAGCAUGAUAUGGUUAUUGUCUUUAUUUUAGUUUAUUUUAUCUUUUCUUUUCCCAUUUUGAGCGCUAGAAGCAUAAUUGUGAUUUUCCAAAAUUAAAACAGAAGUAUGUGUUCGUGCAACUUUGGGCGAAACAGUCUUCAUAAAAAUAAGUGUUAUUAAUUGUGUACACGUUCGCGUGACACGAGUAAGAUUUAAAAAAAUGAAUAUUCAUAGAAAAUGCUUUAGGCGCAUUUAAUGUAUCGUCGUGAUUGUGGACACGUUCGCGUGGCAUAAUUAUGAUUUUAAAAAUGGAAUCGGAGUAUGCGUUCGCGCAACUUUGACUAAACUUUCUUAAUAAUGAUAAAGCGUUAUUAAUUGUGGACACUUUCGCGUGACAUGAUUUUGGACGUGCCAAACAAAUAGGUACACGUACGCGUGACCUAUUUUUUAAGAUAAUUUCAUAAUUAAAAGAGGCAAAUGCACAUAGGUUCUAAAAUGAGUAACUAGACGAUUUAUUAAGCCAAGUAUGAUCAAAGUGACCGUGCUAGAACCACAAAAUCCGGGAAUGCCUAACACCUUCUCCCGAGUUAACAAAAUUUCUUACCCGGAUUUCUGUGUUUGCAGACCAUAAGAUAAGAGUCAACCUUCCUCGAUUCGGGAAUUAAACCAAUGACUUGGGACACCAUAAAUCAUCCCAAGUGGCGACUCUGAUUUCUAAAUAAAAUAAUCCCGUUUUGAUUGCCACUUAAAUUGGAAAAACUCUCUUAUAUCCCUUCACGGGAUAGUAAAAAGGAGGUGUGACAGUCAUACAAGUGAAGGAAGCCGCACCUAAUGUCCGAAACAAUUCCCUCCCUGAUUAUAGAGGUGACAAUGUACAUGUUAUAGAAACAAAUGAGGAAUGGGACCCUGAGGGGUCAAUCGGGCUUAUCCGAGAAGGCGAUGACUUUAAGGUUGCAGUUACACUCACUCCUUUUGUGGUUCAGACUCAGGCACGUAUUGAUGUUGAGGUAGCUGCAUUAGCUCCAUUCGAGGUGGAAGUAACUUCACCCGCAGCCACCUCUGCUCCAUUCGAAGUAGAAGUGGUCACACCUUUUACUGUGACGGUGUCAACCAUACCCCCAUUCAACUCAAAAGUAAUGCCCUAGGAUUAUGUCGCUGAGGCUUGGCGGAAAGGGAAGACUAAGAUAUAGGAAUCUAACACCGCACAAGGGAUGACUAGAACUGGAAGAGUCUACACACCUGAACACUUGGGAGGUUCAAGUAAGGAUGCCACUGCUAGGCAACCUGUCAUUGAGACAGGGACGGAUGACCUAUGGAGGAAAGUACAGGCGAAAGAGUAUUCUGUUAAUGAUCACCAGAACAAAGUCCCUGCUCAAAUAUCUAUCCUAUCACUACUAUAGAAUUCAAAGGCACAUAAAAAAGCCUUGAUGAAAGUACUGAGCGAGGCUUAUGUACCCAAUAAUAUCACUGGUGGAGAAAUGGCCAACAUGGCUGGUCAGGUACUGGAAAGCCAUAAGAUUAUCUUCCAUGAAGAUGAGCUGCCGCGCGAAAGUCUGAAUCACAAUCGAGCAUUGCACAUUACGGUACAAUUUGAAGACAAGUUCAUUGCCAGGGUCCUGGUUGAUGGAGGUUCUAGUCUGAAUAUUUGCCCAUUGGAUACCCUGAAAAGGUUGGACAAAGGUUUCCAUGAAAUACGAACUAGAAGCAUGAAUGUGAAGGCUUUCGAUGGGUCCUGGGGGGCCACGAUCGGGGAAAUCAACCGUUGCUUGCAGAUGGGGCCGAUUUGGUUCGAUGUUAAAUUCCAAGUGUUUGACAUACCAGCCUCAUAUAAUCUUUUGUUAGGCCGCCCAUGGAUCCAUACUGCUGGAGUCGUGCCUUCCACACUACAUCAAGUCGUAAAUUCGAAUGGAACCAUCAAGAGGUAAUCAUUCAUGGAUAUGGGAGUAACCCCAUAUACACCAGUCAAAGCAUUCCGGCCAUUGGACAUAGAAGAAGUCUAGGAGGGGAAACCUAUAAUCAUAUUAAACGGGUCAAUGUCGUCGAGAAGGAUAAGUGGUGGAGCAACAAAAUAGAAAGCAUACUAGCAUGGUCCGGAUAUGAACCCGGCAAAGGGUUGGGAAAGAACCUCCAAGGUAUCACCAAGCCGAUACGACUAAAAAACCAUGGUACCACCUUUGGGCUCGGAUACUAGUAUACAUGGAAAGAGUACAGGGAGUGGUCACCUCCAUGGCAUGGACUGUAUUACCCUCUUGAGCAACCGGUGCCCCGUUUGGAACAAGUUUUCCAUAAGGCGGACAUAAUAUGGGGAACUACUGAAGAAGAAGUACUAGCUGGACUGAAGGAUCUGUUCUUGGAAGAUGAGGAUAUGGGCUGCAGUGCCAUAAUUGAGGAGGAGAAGGAAGAAUGCCUCUCUAUUCAGACUGUGCCAAAGGGAGGUAUUCUCAGAAACUAGACCACCACACCAUCCCAAGCCCGCUGAGUCCCUAGGUAGCUUGGCAGAAUUUAUAGCUGUUCUAGGCAUUUAAAUUUUCAGCAAUUUUGUUUUAAGAUUUCUUUGCUUCAAAUAAAUGCUCGAUCCACCGAGGCAAGCUUUGUUUGAACAAUUUUCUUAGUUUUAAUCAAACAUGUUUAUCCUUUAUCAUUAUUCAUUACUAUUUUUUAUACUUUUCCAUUCUACAUCAUUAUUAUUUCUUUCAUGAUGAACUAGUGACUGUGACAUGUAAUGAGGCAACGCAAUAUGAGAAUGGUGACUCAGAGGAAGAAGAUGAGAUACCCAAGGAAAUUGUCAGAGAAGCUGAGAAUUUUGAGAACAAGCCUAAAUCCAACUUGGACGAAACAGAAGCAGUAAAUUUGGAGACACCAAGACCGUCAAAGAGACUCGUAUCAUAUUCACUUGUCGCCAACAGAGAAGGAAGAGUACAUCCAUUUUCUAAAGGAAUAUGAGGAUAUAUUCGCAUGGUCGUAUUACGAUAUGACCGGUUUGAGUUCAUCUAUAGUGGCUCACAAGCUGCCUACUAAUCCCAUGUGUCCGCCAGUCAAGCAUAAACUCAGAAAAUUCAAACCAUACAUGAAUUUGAAAAUCAAGGAGGAAGUUACCAAGAGGAUCAAAGCCAAGGUUCUUAGGGUGGUUGAGUACCCAACAUGGUUAGCUAACAUUGUGCCAAUUCCGAAAAAAAAGACAGGAAGGUCCGAGUAUGUGAUUAUUAUCAGAAUUUAAAUAGAGCAAGUUCCAAAGAUGACUUCCCACUGCCAAAUAUACACAUCCUAAUCGAUAACUGUGCCAAGCAUGAACUCCAAUCCUUUGUAGAUUGCUUCGCAGGUUAUCACCAAAUCUGGAUGGAUGAAGAAGAUGCCGAAAAGACAACUUUUAUUACGCCUUGGGGUGUAUACUGUUACAAGAUGAUGUUGUUUGGUCUGAAGAAUGUGGGGGCCACUUACAUGAGGGCCAUGACAACCAUCUUCCAUGAUAUGAUAUACAAAGAAAUAGAGGUAUAUAUGGACGACGUCAUUAUCAAAUCCAAGAUGGUCACAGAACACAUAACAGACUUGAAGAAAUUCUUCGACAGGCUCAGGAGGUAUAAUUUGAAGUUGAACCCCGCAAAAUGUGCAUUCGGGGUUCCUGUAGGAAAGUUAUUGGGAUUCAUUGUCAGUCGCCGAGGGAUCGAGCUAGAUCCGACUAAAGUCAGAACUAUUCAAGAGCUACCGCAACCUAAAAGCAAAAAGGACAUGAUGAGCCUCCUGGGGUAACUCAACUACAUUAGCCGAUUCAUAGUACAGUCAACAGUAAUAUGUGAACCCAUCUUCAAGAUGCUGAGGAAAAAUGCCGAGACAAGUUGGACCGAGGAUUGUUAGAAAGCUUUUGACAAGAUCAAGGAAUACCUGUCCACACCUCCAGCUCUGGUCCCUCCAGAACCAGGACGACCUUUGCUACUUUAUCUAUCCGUGUUAAAUGGAGCCUUCAGAUGUGUUUUGGGACAACAUAAUGAGAUAGGAAGAAAGGAGCAAGCCAUAUAUUACGUAAGUAAGAAAUUCAUACCUUAUGAAGCACGGUAUUAUCUACUCGAACGCAUUUGUUGUGCUUUGACCUGGACAACACAGAAAUUGAGGCAUUAUUUCUGUGCCUACACUAAAUACCUCAUAUCCAGGAUGGAUCCUCUGAAGUACAUAUUUCAGAAGCCCAUGCCUAUGGGGAAGUUGGCUAAAUGGCAGAUACUGCUGAGUGAGUUCGACAUCGUCUAUGUAACUCAAAAGGCAGUCAAGGGACAAACAUUGGCAGAUCACCUUGCUGAAAAUCUGAUGGGAGGAGAAUACGAACCCCUGAAAACGUAUUUUCCUGAUGAAGAAGUAUCAUUCGUGGGAGAAGCCAUUACAGAAGCAUAUGAUGGUUGGAGGACGUUCUUUGAUAGAGCCGCAAAUUUCAAAAGAGUAGGCAUUAGAGCAGUUCUGGUAUAAGAAAUGGGUUAGCAUUAUCCUGUAUCUGCUAAACUCAGAUUUUCCUGCACCAAUAAUAUGGCAGAAUUUGAGGCCUGCAUACUAGGGCUCAAUAUGGCAGUCGACAUGAACAUUUAGGAAUUGUUGGUGUUUGGUGAUUCAGAAUAUCUUGUGCACCAGGUACAAGGAGAAUGGGCUACCAAGAAUUCCAAAAUAUUGUUAUAUCUGCACCAUGUGCAGGAAUUGAAAAGGAGGUUCACGAAAAUAGAAUUCAGACAUGUGCCCAGAAUUUAGAAUGAGUUCGCCGACGCAUUAACCACGUUGUCAUCAAUGAUACAACAUCCAGAUAAGAACUAUAUUGAUUCCAUUUCAGUGAGAAUCCAUAAUCAGUCGGCAUAUUGUGCUCAUAUCGAGGAAGAAACAGAUGGAAAGCCUUGGUUCCAUGACAUCAAGGAGUACUUAUAAAAAGGAGAAUAUCUUGGGCACGCAAAUCACAUUAAAAAAUGCACGCUUCGUAGAUUGUCAAAUCACUUCUUCCACAGUAGAGAGAACUUGUACAAAAGAACUCCGGAUUUGGGUUUGCUAAGGUGUCUCGACGCAAAGGAAACUUCUAAGCUACUUGAGGAUAUGCAUGCUGGGACCUGCGGUCCGCACAUAAAUGGUUUUGUUCUGGCCAAGAAGAUACUCAUGGCAGGUUACUUUUGGAUGACCAUUGAGAUGGAUUGUAUUCAGUAUGUCCGCAAAUGCUUUCAAUGUCAAGUACAUGCCGACAUGAUAAAAGUGCCACCAAACGAUCUCAAUGAAAUAAGCUCACCUUGGCCAUUCGCCGCCUGGGGAAUGGAUGUUAUUGGUCCGAUUAAGCCCACGACUUCAAACGAACAUCGAUUUAUUCUGGUAGCCAUUGAUUACUUCACAAAAUGGGUAGAAGCUGCAUCUUACAAAGUACUAACCAAGAAAGUCAUCGUAGAUUUUGUCAAGGAUCGUAUUGUGUGCCGAUUCGGAGUUCCUGAGUCCAUUAUUACCGACAAUGCUGCCAACCGUAACAGUGACUUGAUGAAAGCUAUAUGUGAAGCUUUCAAAAUCAAGCACAAGAAUUCCACAACCUACAUACCUCAGAUAAAUGGAGCAGUAGAAGCUGCCAACCAAAACAUUAAGAAGAUACUAAGGAAAAUGGUAGAGAAUCACAAGCAGUGGCAUGAGAAGUUACCCUUUGCUCUGUUAGGGUACCGCACCACAGUUCACACAUCAACUAGGGUAACCCCUACAUGCUGGUUUAUGGUACGGAGGCUGUCAUCCUAGCCGAGGUAGAGAUUCUUUCUAUAAGAGUCAUACAGGAAGCGAAGCUCAGCGAUGCAAAAUGGAUAAGAAGUUGCUAUGAACAGUUGUCCCUUAUCGAUGGAAAAAUAAUGAACGCAGUAUGUCACGGCCAACUGUAUCAGAACAGAAUGUCCAGAGCUUUCAACAAAAGGGUCAAACCAAGACAGUUUGCACUAGGGCAGCUGGUAUUGAAGAAGAUCUUCCCACACCAAGAUGAAGCCAAAGGGAAAUUCUCUCCCAACUGAAAAGGUCUGUAUAUGGUUCACAGGGUACUAACUAGAGGAGCACUCAUACUUGCAAAGAUGGAUGGAGAAAUCUAGAUAAAACAAAUUAAUUCAGACGCAGUCAAGAGAUACUAUGCCUAGAUCAUUUCACAUUUUCUUUUCUAAUGUAAUUAAACUACGCUUGACCUAAUUCCCAUUUAAAAGGGGAUAUGUAGGCAGACUUAUGGGUUUGGUCAUAUCAUAAUAAAAUUUUCAUUUUCCCCCAGAAUUAGAAACUGGGGCAGAAUUUUGAGGAGGGUCCUCAAAAUUUCGGAACAAGUCCAGCCAGCGCCAUCACAUGCCAGGAAGUCAGUCAUCAGUCAAGAACUGGGGCAGAAUUUUGAAAAGGAUUCCCAAAAUUCUGAAGAAGGUUCAUCAAGGUCCGCCAUCCGCAAACAGUUAAAAAUCAUCUAUCAAACUGGGGCAAAAUUUUGAGGAGGACCCUCAAAAUUCCAACAUAAGAGAGCUGCAAUGCCUUUGAAAUAUGUCACAAUCGCUAGUUCAUCAAAAGUUACUUGAUAUAUCGAUACGCUUCCAAAAAAUCCUAUUUUAUCAAUGAACGCAUAUUUUUCGAAAAUUCUAUUCUAUUUUUUUUCAUAACAGUCAGGUGCUAACUAGGGGAACUCGAAGGGGGCUUCCAGAGCGGAGCAAAGCAAGGCCGGCAGACGAGGAAAGAACCAACCUCCCCUCAUGAAACUUAUGAGUUUUCUUUGAACGCAGGCACAUUUGACGAUAGCAUUUGUACACAAAGCAAAUUCACCAUCCAUCCGUCCGUUAGAUGCUGAACAUAUCCUAGCUAAGAUAUACUCUACCCUUAUCUGCUAUUUUCUAUUUGUAUGAGUCUAAUCUCUGACUCCACAUUUGCAUGAGUCUAAUCCUUGACUCCACAUUUGUAUGAGUCUAAUCCUUGACUCUAUAUUUGCAUGGGUCUAAUCCCUAACUCCAUAUUUGCAUGAGUCUAAUCCUUGACUUUAUAAUUGCAUGAGUCUAAGCCCUGACUCCAUAUUUGUAUGAGUCUAAUCUCUAACUCCAAUCAUGCAUGAGUCUAAUCCCUGACUCCAUAUUUGUAUGAGUCUAAUCCCGGACUCCAUAUCUGCAUAAGGCUAAGCAUUGCCUUCCAUUUGCAUGGUACUAAGCCUUGUCUCGAAUCUCGCAUGAGGUUAAGCUCUACCUCUAUAUUUGCGUAAGGAUAAGCGCUGCCUUCUUCUUGCAUGAGACUAAGCUCUAUCUCCAAUCUUGCAUGAGUCUAAUCCCGGACUCCAUAUUUGCAUAAGGCUAAGCACCGCCUUCUCUCUGCAUGAGUCUAAGCCCUGACUCAAUAUUUGCAUAAGGUUGAUCCUUACCUCCACACCUGCAUAAGUCUAAGCCCUGACUCUAUAUUUGCAUGAAGCUAAUCCUUGCCUCCCCAUUUGCAUAAGACUAAUCCCUGCCUCCCCACUUGCAUGACACUAAACAUUGUCCCUCUUUGCACCAAUGUUGCUCUAUUUUCUACUAUUAUCUACCUGUUUUUCAAUCGGGCUAAGCUUUGCCCUCUACUUCGCAAGACUAAACCUUGUCUUGUUACAUCAUAUUAUUGCAUAUCAUGGGCUGAAACAUUGGCAAUCUGUCCAAAGACGUCAUAGUCUAAAGGCACCAUCCUCAUAGCCGGAAGACACCAUGUCAUGGCCUGAGGAUCUCUCAAAUUUGCAUAUCAUUAUUCAAAGGAGUCAUGGUUCGGAAGCACCAUUUUCAUGGCCCAAGAAUAUCAUUUCAUGGCCUGCGAAUCCCUCAUUAAAACAUUUAUGGCCCAGGACGUCAUGGUCCAAGGACGUCAUCUUUAACCGUUUGAAGAUAACCUUCAUGGUCCAAAGGGAAUUUGCAUCAUGUUUAAAUUUUUGCAAAUAUGUUUGUAGCAUCUUUUAUCUGCAGGUGACCAACAAACAACAGCUAUCCUAGCAGGAGCAAUCUCGCUCAAGUUCCCUCCAACCAUCCAGAUCAUAGAAGCUUCCACAUCUCGUGUCCGUUCUCACAAUAACUUCAUCGACAUACUCCACAAGUGAAGCUAGAACUACACAUGGCCUGAUUCCUGUAAAACCAGGGAUAUGUAGGNNNNNNNNNNNNNNNNNNNNNNNNNNNNNNNNNNNNNNNNNNNNNNNNNNNNNNNNNNNNNNNNNNNNNNNNNNNNNNNNNNNNNNNNNNNNNNNNNNNNNNNNNNNNNNNNNNNNNNNNNNNNNNNNNNNNNNNNNNNNNNNNNNNNNNNNNNNNNNNNNNNNNNNNNNNNNNNNNNNNNNNNNNNNNNNNNNNNNNNNNNNNNNNNNNNNNNNNNNNNNNNNNNNNNNNNNNNNNNNNNNNNNNNNNNNNNNNNNNNNNNNNNNNNNNNNNNNNNNNNNNNNNNNNNNNNNNNNNNNNNNNNNNNNNNNNNNNNNNNNNNNNNNNNNNNNNNNNNNNNNNNNNNNNNNNNNNNNNNNNNNNNNNNNNNNNNNNNNNNNNNNNNNNNNNNNNNNNNNNNNNNNNNNNNNNNNNNNNNNNNNNNNNNNNNNNNNNNNNNNNNNNNNNNNNNNNNNNNNNNNNNNNNNNNNNNNNNNNNNNNNNNNNNNNNNNNNNNNNNNNNNNNNNNNNNNNNNNNNNNNNNNNNNNNNNNNNNNNNNNNNNNNNNNNNNNNNNNNNNNNNNNNNNNNNNNNNNNNNNNNNNNNNNNNNNNNNNNNNNNNNNNNNNNNNNNNNNNNNNNNNNNNNNNNNNNNNNNNNNNNNNNNNNNNNNNNNNNNNNNNNNNNNNNNNNNNNNNNNNNNNNNNNNNNNNNNNNNNNNNNNNNNNNNNNNNNNNNNNNNNNNNNNNNNNNNNNNNNNNNNNNNNNNNNNNNNNNNNNNNNNNNNNNNNNNNNNNNNNNNNNNNNNNNNNNNNNNNNNNNNNNNNNNNNNNNNNNNNNNNNNNNNNNNNNNNNNNNNNNNNNNNNNNNNNNNNNNNNNNNNNNNNNNNAUAUAUAUAUAUAUAUAUAUAUAUAUAUAUAUAUAUAUAUAUAUAUAAGUAUGCACAGGGUUUUUUAUUAUUUUUCCCAUAAUUUUAAGGGUUUAAAUUGAUUCGUUUUCUCCCCGUUUAUUCAUAAAAUCACCAAUAAUUAUUUUCUAAAUUAUUGUUAUGGUGAUUUAUUCAUCUAAUUUCAAUACCUAUGCCAAAAUAUGGUUAAUAUAUUUUUCAUGCAUUUUUAUAAUUACAUUUAGUAUUUUUAAUCUAAUUUGCACAUAAUUGCAAUGUUAGCCCAUUUUAAGGUAUAAUUAUAUUUUAAAUGCAUAAAAUUGGUCCCUAUAUUUUUAAAAUGAUAAUUAUGUAUUUUAAAUCAUUUUGGAACCUUAAAUUAUUUUUCAAAAAUUACCUAUUAUUUAUUAUAAAUUAAAAUAGGGAAAAUUAGCUAUUUAAAUCAUAGCUAGAUUUGGCUUUCAAUUUAGUCUAACUCGGACCCCUCCCCAGCCCAAUAUCCUAUUAAAUAACCCGACCCAGGCCACAAAUACUUCCUACCUGACCCAAACCCAUCAGAUCUUGGCUGUUGAUCUAAAAGAUCAACGGCCAUCCUUUGCUCUUUCCUUUUUUAAUUCAUACACCCCCCAAAACCCUAAACCAUUUUCUAAAUCCGCCGCCUUCAAAUCCUCACAUCUUAUCUCUUCUCUCAACCUAACCCUAGACUCUGUCGAUCGCCUCUCUUCUCCGGUUAUCUCCGGCGACUACCUUUCAACCCCAAGCCUCUAAUGGUCACGACACCGCCUUGCUCAUCAUAUCUAAGGCCUUCAAGGUCCUGGGCCAUGCCGAUUUGGAUCUAGGGUUUCUGUUUCUUUUAAUCAUGGCUUCUCCGGUGUGAUUGGCAAAAUCACACCUUAUAUGUUAUGAUCGGUGAAGUUUACAACAGGUUCUGUCGUUUCUAUCUAGGUUCCUUUUGAAACCCUAACUCUCGUUUGAAUCUCUUAGAUCUGUGUUAUUUUUAACGCUUUAAGUCUAUUUCUUCCUAUGAUUUGCACUAUUCUCGAACUUCUUCUGAAAGAUCCUCAACUUUAAACCAUUUUCCUUUCUUUAAAAUUAGGGUUUCUCGGAGUUUCUUCUACACUUGUUUUAACCGACCUUUUCUUUAUGUUUAAACCCCUUUCCUUGCUUAUCAUGACUAAUCUUAUGUUCUUACUGCUUUUUAAUUCGCCUAUAUCAAAAGCCCUAAUUUCUAAGAUUUUCUUUGCUUUGGUUUUGUAUGUUAGCCUGUUUACUUGAUUCUUGUUAAUCUUCCGUGGUUACCAUGCUUUGAAUGUGUUUUACUGAAUCCUUAGCCUACUUAUGUCGCUUCUAUAUGACUGUGCUCAUUUUGUUUGUUCAUCUCUUGCUUCUUUCUGUCACUAUGGCUAACCUUGCCCGUUUGCUACGCCUGUUUGAUCUUCUCUAUUUAUAUGUUGAAAAUACAGAAUCACGACUCCCUCGUGAUUGAUUCUGAUUUCCUUAAUUGAUGGUGAUUGAAGGAUUUUCUUUUAAAAGACCUAAAACCUUUACCCGGCCUGUUUAAGCUAACUGAUUUCGUUACCAUAUUUGCUAUGAUACUUUAUUUCUACUGAGUCGUGUCCUUAAUUAUGGUUUUAUGAAUUUAGUCCUAAUUGACUACUUUAUGCUUACUGAAACCUUACUCCUUCCUUAUUUAGUUAUGCACUGAUUUUUCUUCUUGCCUUAUAUGAUACUGAAUCUUCCUGUUUGAUUUGAUUCCCGUAACUUAAGGGAAUAUUUCCUUGAUUCUCUAAUUGAUUGAUUCUGAGUUCUUCAAUUAUUAUGCUACUAUGAUUCUUACCUUAUUCCACUACCUACUUUCAAUUAUAAAUACUCUAAGUCUUUCAUUAACACAGACACAAACACUUGGUUUUCAAAAACUACCUCUCUUACUAAAAAUCUCUGCUCUCCCCUCUCUCUUGUGCUAUUUGCUGCUAUUAGCGGCUACAAGUCAAGGCUAAUCAUCUGUGCUCUAUUGUUCCUUCAUUCUGCUUACUUCUCUCUUCACUGGUAUGUCCUAGCUUUGAUUUAAAGCCUCAACAACAACAUGUUUCUCUUAUUGUUUCAGUUUCUCUUAUUUAUAGUCUACUUCUACUUGUGGUUCUGUUGUGAAACUUGUAGUUAAGUUACAUUAUCAGCAUGUUAUUAUGUCUCCCCUUCCCUUUAGAUUAAUGUAUUCCCAUAUGUGUGUUUCAAAGCAUGCCUUGUCAACUACCUUUUACUUAUUAUGUGUUUACCAUCCUAUGAGUCCCCAAAUCCUAUUACCCUAUUUCUAUGUGUUCUUCCUGACUGGUUUGUGAUUAUGCUAGUAUCAACUAUUUUUGAGCAUGUCCAAACCAGUCCUAAGACCCUUGCUGGGUUAUGUAUUUACAGUCAAAUGUCUGUGUAUCCCUAAACCCCUUGACCCAUGUGUAACUAUUGAAUUCAUUUGGAUUCUGUAGACUAGCUGUGUGUGAUCCUAUCUUAAGGUGUUUGAGCUUUGUUCACUACUCCAACUUCUUUUCAAACAAUCUCUGUUGCUUUACUAAUUGCUUUCAAAAUAAACUUUCAAAUUCAGUCUUUAAUAAACCUCUUUCAACUUGUGUCCUGCACUUUCACUUCAUUCUUAGUCAAUAAGUUCUGCCCCCUCUAGUAUGUGUACUAUCUUGGGAUCCUCUUGAGAGCCCUCUAAACUCUGGCAUACUGAGGUUGGCCUUUCCACACUGCACUGGUUCAACUCUUGGUUACUAAGUCUAGGUAUAAGCAUUUCCUGGGGUCCUUGAGACCCUUAAGGAACUUUGAUGCACCUAGACUCUGAUUUGUCUAUGGGAAUGAGGCUUGUGAGAUUAUUGGAGGCUUUGAGAAACUUGGGCCUAAUUACAGGCUCCCUAUAGAAUAGCUUCUUGAUUUCUAUUUCUACUUAUGUAAUUCAUUGGCCUGUAAUAAUUUGUAAACAGAUAUUUGGGAUAUUUAGUAAAAGGGUAGGUAGAUGUAUGCUUUAAAGGGUAAUAUGGGUAGAAAUCUUGCACUUAGGAUCUUAUUUUUGAAGUCUGUCUGCUUUACUCAAUAGAAAACAUGCUCAUAGGGUUUUCCUCUUUUAAAUCUGAUUGCUUUGUCUAAUAGAAAUCAUGCCUAUAGGAUCUUACUUCCUAUUUCGUUUGCAUUAGGUAGAAAUCUUGUUCAUAAGGUUCUGCAUUUUGUCAUGUUAGAGAUCAUGCUUAUAGGUCCCAAACAAUUGUGUUUAAAUCCAUUCAAAUAUAGAUGUCAUGCCUAUAGGACUCAACUCCGAUUCAGUUCUAAUAAGUCUUUCUGUAUGUUGCUGCAAAUUGUCUUAAAUUAGUAAUACGCCUGGAUAUCAUGCCUUUAGGGAUCCCUACUCGCAAUUCUGUAUGGUAAUUUAAUUAGCCCAAUGAAUCAACUUCAUUAUGCCUAGUUCAUUUUUUAAAAACUGGUCUUAUUAAGUGUCAAAUAUUUCCUGAAACAAGUUCUUUCAAAAUUACUUCAAUCUCAUUAGAUAUCAUGUAUAUAGGUAUUAAAGGGGUCUAUUUCGAAAACUUGUUUAUUCUUGCAUUAACAUAGACACAGUCUACUGCAUAUAGGCAAGCCUUAGGGAAUUUACCAAAAAACUGUAUUUCCCUGAAGCUGCUUCUGUCGUUUAACGUUUCUCAUUCUAAUAAGCUUUUAAAAGGAGUCCCUAGGCAACUACUAUGUUAUAACUUCUGGGUGUAAAAAGGUUUGUCUGUUUCUGCAUAUUCACUUAGAUAUCCUGCUUUAGAACUUUGAUUAAUAAAGACCUUAACUGUGUUUAAGUCGUGCUGCUUGUAUGUUUGUUUUUUUAGGAGGAAAUUUUGAGCCUCUUAAUCGCUCCUAUUAUGUGAAAGUCCUAAGUAUUUUGACUAUCGCCUUAGAGUUUUCGCCUUUCUAAACCUUAGGGGUAUGUCUAGAACUACCUAUAAGUAGAGGUCCUAACUCCCUCUGAGACCAUUAAGAAGGGACGGGUAAUAACACGCAAUAGGUAUCAGUGACCAAACACUCGCUUUGCAUGACCAAUAAAGGGAUGGGAAGGGUAGACAUGGGAUAUGAUGACUACGCAUUAAUGUCACGUGUAGCCCCUCAUCGAGGAGUGUUUAUCGGACAUUGCGUGGGGUGAUCCUAUAAGACAUACAACCUAGGACCCCUCUUUACCAAAUCCUUUCUCUAUUCAAAACUUUUCGUCUUUUACAACUUGUUCUUACUACUUAAACUAUCCAACGUGCUUUACUUGCAACUUAUUUGAUUCUACUAUUUAUAUGGACUAAUUUGUAAAUAUAACUUCGGUCGGGACCCACAGUUGUAGACCAAGAGGGGUGCCUAAGACCUUCCCCUCAAGGUUACUUCGAGCCCUUAUCCUAAUCUCUGGUAAUGCAAACCAACCCAAGAGUUAACCACUCUAGGUUUCCUAACGCACCACAAUUCGUUAGGUGGCAACUCUUCAAAUACCCAAUUCCCAAAAGGGAAAUGAGUCAUUACACCCCGUGAAUGUCAAAACCCGGACUUUCUCUGCAGAGGAAAAAAAGGGGCGCGACAUGGGGCUAAAGAUAAUAGUGUUUAUUUAGAUACUGAUUCUGAUAACACACAUUAUUUUCACACUUGUUCUUGUCAAAGAUUCUUUGAUUCCAGGAUAAAACAUGUCAAACUCAUAGAACGCACCGUACACGGUGAUAACGGUCUUAAUUUCCACGAAAAAAGUGAUAACAUAAUUGCUCCAGAUGUCGAUAUACCACCGAUAAACCCUAGGGAAGUGCCAAAUGUGGAACCAGUAGAUGUUAGUUCACACAUUGCUUUGAAUGCAGAUCUAGGCAUAGAGCCCGGAGCAAGUGUACGCAAGAAAGUCAGAUCUGGUGGCCAAAGAACACAGGGUGUAGGAGAUGGGGGAAUCAGCCUUCAAGUAAUAUUUGAGAUGCUACAAGCUAAACAGAUUGCCAUCGCUCAACUUCAAAGUCAGAAUAAAACUCCAAGUAUAGUCGAACCAGAAAACACUCAACAUACUGAGCCGGUGCCAGAGAGAUCAAACGAGAAUGGCUCGGGGACUGACCCUACAAUUAUGAGGAUAGUCGAGGAACUCAUCAAGAGGAUCGAGUCCGGUUAGAAGAAGAUUGAGGAUAAUGACAAAAAGGUAGAGACUUAUAAUUCCCGUGUUGAUCAAAUACCGGGGGCACCCCUGGUCUUGAAAGGAUUGGACGCCAAAAAAUUCAUACAAAAGUCGUUUCCCUCGAGCGCAACUCCAAUGCUCAUCCCAAAGAAGUUCCAUAUGCCCGAUAUACCUAAAUACAACGGAACAAACUGAUCCCAAGGAACAUAUUACCUCGUAUACUUGCUAGAUUAAAGGAAACGACUUGAAUAAUGAUGAGAUCAAAUCAGUAUUGUUGAAAACGUUUGGAGAAACCUUGUUUAAGGGAGUCAUGAUUUGGUAGCACAAGUUGCCCCUGAACUCUAUCGAUUCAUUUGCUACGUUAGUAGAUGCCUUCGUAAAAGCACACAUAGGGGUUAUAAAGGUGGUGACAAGGAAAUCAGAUGUUUUUAAGAUAAGGUAGAGGAACGAUGAGAUGCUAAGGGAGUUUCAAUGCGGUUUCAGAUGGAGCGAAUGGAAUUACCACAAGUUUCGGAUGAUUGGGCAGUACAAGCUUUCAUGCAGGGUUUGAACGAGCGGAGUUCGAUCGCGUCUCGACAAUUGAAGUAGAAUCUGAUCGAGUAUCCAGUAGUGACGUGGUCAGACGUACAUAAUCGUUACCAAUCAAAGAUCAGGGUUGAGGAUGACCAGUUGGGAGCCCCUUCGGGUUCAGUUCAUCCUAAUAGAUUGGCAGCUAAGCCCAUGAGGGAUACAAACUUGGAAUUAAGAUAAAACAAGGAACAGUAUCAGCCGUAUGUCGAUCGGAGAAACAGUGGUUCGGGGCGUAACUCUCCUCGGAACGAUCAAAGAAAUGACCGAGGUCAAAGCUCUCAGGGACUCAUGAGUAAGAAUGGAUUUGACAAAUAUACCGACCCCGUGGAAGUACCUCGACUGUUAGAGUAUAAUUUCAGUGUAGAUGCAUCGGGGAUUGUAUCAGCUAUUGGAAGAAUCAAAGACAUCAGGUGGCCAGGCCUAUACAAACCGAUCUCUCUCAAAGGAAUCCAAACUUGAUGUGUAAGUAUCAUGGAACACAUGGCCAUAAAACCAAAGACUACAGGCAACUGGGGAGGAAGUAGCUCGAUUGUUCAACGAAGUUUAUCUUCGAGAAUUUCUCAGUGAUCGAGCUAAGAACCACUUCAGGGAAAGAGAUGCAAACAGAAAAAAUGAGCAAGAAGAACCAUAACAUGUAAUUCAUAUGAUCAUUGGCGGUGUCGAUGUUCCACAAGGGACUAUAUUCAAACGCACCAAGGUGUCGAUCACCAGAGAAAAAUAGACUCAGAUCUAUGUGUCCGAGGGCAUCCUAUCAUCCAAUGACGAGGAAACGGAAGGCAUAUUUCAGCCACAUAAUGACGCCCUGGUAAUUUUUAUUUUGUUAAAUAAAUUUCAAGUUAAACGUGUUCUAGUGGAUCCAGGUAGCUCAACAGACAUAAUCAGAUCGAGGGUCGUAGAGCAUCUCAGCCCACAAGACCAAAUUAUACUGGCAUCCCGAGUCCUAAAUGGUUUCAACAUAGAAAGCGAAACAACGUAGGGGGAGAUAAUCCUACUAGUUAAAGUGGCUGGAACAAUCCAAGAAACAAAAUUCCAUGUCAUCGAAGGCGACAUAAAGUAUAAUGCCCUUCUCGGAAGGCCAUGGAUCAACAACAUGAGGGCAGUACCUUCAACCCUUCAUCAGAUGAUGAAAUUCCCAACAGCAGAUAGUGUAAAAAUGGUUUACAAAGAACAACACACUGCAAAAGAAAUAUUUGUAGUUGACGAAGUGAUACCAAUACCAAUGCCUUUAACCUCAAAAAAAUCGGGGGCCAAAGAUAAGCAGGCGGCCAAAUAGCAUUCACCGAUCCCAGACCUGAUCGAGCCAGAGGAACAGAUAAUCGGAGAAGAAAAAGAGGAUUUCCUUACUCCUCGAACCAUCGUUGUUCCCGAAGAGUCGAACGCAACCAAAUCAAUGGUCGAGUACAUGCCCGAGAAAAAGGUAUAUAUGGGGACGGGGUUAACCCCCGAACUCAGGAAAAAACUCAUUCAAUUGUUAUCGAUAAUAUGGAUUGUUUUGCCUGGUCUCAUUUAGAUAUGACAGGGAUCCCACCGAAAAUAACAACACACCGGCUAAGCAUCGAUCCCAGGUUCAAACUGCCGAAGCAAAAGAGAAGGCCCCAGUCCGAGGUGAAGCGUGCAUUCAUAAAGGAUGAGGUAAUCAAACUUCUUAAAAUAGGGUCUAUUCGGGAAGUAAAAUACCCCGAGUGGUUAGCCAAUAUGGUCGUAGUUUCUAAAAAGGGAAGCAAACUUAGAAUGUACGUAGAUUAUAAGGAUUUAAACAAGGCAUGCCCUAAAGACUCUUUUCCAUUGCCUAGCAUCGAUGGCAUGAUCGGUGCCACAGCCGACCACAAGAUCCUUAGCUUUCUUGAUGCCUACUCUGGGUACAAUCAGAUUCAAAUGAACCCGGGGGACUAGGAGAAGACCUCAUUUAUCACCAAGUUUGGAACUUAUUGUUACAACGUAAUGCCCUUCGGGAUAAAAAAUGCAGGAGUUACAUACCAACGCCUAGUUAAUAAAAUGUUCAAGGAAUAGAUAGGUAAAUCUAUGGAAGUUUACAUUGACGAUAUGUUGGUUAAGUCCCUGCGCGCAGAGGACCAUUUAACCCAUUUGCAGGAAACAUUCAAAAUCUUGACGAAGUACAACAUGAAGCUUAACCUGGAAAAAUGUGCCUUUGGAGUCGUCUCAGGUAAGUUCCUCGACUUCAUAGUAUUGAAUAGGGGGAUUGAAAUCAACCCCGACAAGAUCAAGGCCAUCGAAGAUAUCAUAAUUAUGGAUAGUGCGAAAGUCAUGCAAAGGCUAACAGGAUGAAUAGACACCUUGGGUUGAUUCAUUUCGAGGUCAUCUGAUCAAAGUCAUAGGUUUUUUUCCUCGCUCAAAAAGGAAAAGGAUUUCGCAUGGACCCCGGAAUGCCAGCAAGCCUUACAAGAGUUGAAACGAUACUUAUCGAGACCACCUUUGCUUCACACCCUGAAUGUAGAUAAAAAGCUUUACUUAUAUUUGGCAGUGUUCGAGAUAGCGGUAAGUGGAGUACGAUUUCAAGAAGAGCAAGGUACUCAAUUCCCUAUUUAUUAUGUAAGACAAACUCUAGAAGAUGUUGAAAUUAGAUACCCUCACUUAGAAACAUUAGCACUUGCAUUAAUAAGUGCAUCUAGAAAGUUAAAUCCAUAUUUUCGAUUUCAUCCCAUAUGUUUAUUAACCACAUAUUCUCUCUGAAACGUUUUGCAUAAGCCCGAAUUAUCAGGCCGAUUGGCCAAAUGGGUAGUCAAACUUGGAGGCUACGAUAUCGAAUAUCAACCCUGAACGGCUAUCAAGUCUCAAAUCUUAGCUGACUUCAUGGCCGACUUUACACUGACCUUUGUACCUUAAGUAGAAAAAGAACUUCUGCUAGGAUCGGGUACAUCAUCGGGGGUAUGGACCCUUUUCACAGACGAUGCCUCGAAUGUGAAAGGGUACGGGCUCGGUAUUGUUUUGAAUCCACCCACAUGAAGUACUAUUAGACAAUAUCUUAAAACUUCUAGGUUGACUAAGAAUGAGUCCGAGUAUGAUGCCAUGAUUGCAGGUCUCAAGCUAGCUAAAAUCAUGGGGGCAAAAGUGAUCGAAGCCAAGUGCGAUUCCCUGUUGGUCGUAAAUCAAGUAAACAAAAGCUUUGAAUUUUGAGAGGAUAGGAUGCAAAGAUAUUUGGAAAAAUUACAAGUAACCCUACAUCGCUUCAAGGAGUGGACUCUAGACCAUGUGCCUCGAGAACAAAAUAGUGAGGCCGAUGCACUAGCCAACUUGGGGUCAUCAGUUGAAGACGAUGAUAUUGUCCCAAGGACCGUCAUCUAGUUGUCGAGAUAUGUGGUCGAAGAGGGUCAUGCUGAGAUAAAUUCUACAAGUUUGACUUGGAAUUGGAGGAAUAAGUAUAUCGAGUAUUUGAAAAAUGGAAAGCUCACAUCGGAUCACAAAGAGUCGAAGGCUCUACGAACAAAGGCUUCUAGGUUCACAUUAGAUGAAGAUGGAAAAUUAUACAGAAGGACGUUCGAUGGACCAUUGGUGGUAUGUUUCGGGCUGGGAGACACCGAUUAUGUUCUACGGGAAGUCUACGAAGGCACUUAUGGGAAUCACUCUUGCGCCGAGUCUUUGAUUCGCAAAAUUAUUAGAGUGGGGUAUUAUUGGGAUAAUAUGGAAAAAGACACUAAGGAGUUUGUCAAAAAAUGUGAUAAAUGUCAAAGGUUUGCACCGAUGAUUCAUCAGCUCGGAGAACAACUUCACUAAGUUCUGUCCCUAUUGCCUUUCAUAAAAUAGGGAAUGGAUAUCGUCGCCCCACUACAAAUGGCCCCAGCUGAAGCUAAGUUCAUUUUGUUUAUGACCGACUACUUUUCUAAAUGGGUGGAAGCACAGGCCUUCGAGAAGGUUGGAGAAAAAGAAGUUAUUGACUUCAUUUGGGACCAUAUCGUGUGUCGAUUCGGGAUACCUGCCGAAAUCGUAUGCAACAAUAGCAAGCAAUUCAUCGGCAGCAAGGUAACGAAGUUCCUUGAAGCACACAAAAUAAAUAGGAUCUUAUCAACAUUGUACCACCUAACCAGGAACGGACAGGCCGAGUCAACAAACAAAACUAUUAUUCAAAACCUAAAGAAAAGGUUGGACGAUGCAAAAGGAAAACGGAGAGAAGUUCUACCUGAGGUCCUUUGGGCAUAUCGAACAACAUCAAAGUCCAGCACGGGGGCUACUCCGUUCUCUUUAGUAUAUGGCUCCGAGGCAUUAAUCCUAGUCGAGGUCGAAGAACCCAGCGCCAGGUUUCGACAUGCAUCGGAGGAGUCAAAUCAUGAGUCUACGAAAACUAGCCUCGAUCUAUUAGAUGAAAAAUGAGAAGCUGCACUUGUACGGAUGGCGCACAGAAACAAAGAAUCGAGAGAUAUUAUAAUGGAAGGGCUAACCUUCGACACUUUGGAAUCAGGGACUUAGUUCUAUGAAAAGUCACCCUCAAUACUUGAGACCCAAAAGAGGGAAAACUGGGCCCGAAUUGGGAAGGACCGUAUCGAGUCAUCGAAGUUGUCGGUAAAGGAUCUUACAAGCUUGGCACGAUGGAAGGCGAACAACUACCGAACAAUUGUAAUGUAUCACUACUCAAACGAUACUACUGCUAAGGUAUGAUUUUCUCCUUUUGUCCAUUUAAAUUUAAAACUAACUCAUUACAGGUGUUCGAUCGAGAACAUCGAGGGCACCUUUUUACAUGAAGACCUUAGGUUUUAAAGUACGCGUUGCACUCUUUUUCCCUUAGAUCGGAUUUUGUCCCAAAUGGGUUUUACCGAUGAGGUUAUUAACGAGGCAACAACUAUAUGCUACCUAAGGAGAACUCAACAGUAUCCAAGGCUUCUUUUCAAUCAACCUUGAAUACUGGGGGGGCAUCACUCUCGGAGAUUAUAUUUUCGAGGAAAAUACUUCACGCCAAAAAGGGUCUCGAUAGGAUAACUUUAUAAUGGGCCAAACGGUCAGAUGAACCGUGUCCAUAUAGAAUAGUUGAGCUCCAACGGCAAAACAUGUACACAUGUAUCAAUUAUUUAAAGAAGCAUUCCUUCUAUAUCACAAUACUUUGUGUCUCAAAGAAAUUUGCUACUAUACGAGCAUCAUACUUGUGAUUUUGCAAGAAACGGCUCAAGGGCCAAAAUGCAAAUGCACCUCAAAUACUCGGGGGCUAACCUCUCGAAUAAGCUCGAAGGGUUAUCAGGAAACAAGUCGAAGAGACAUACCCGAAGUCUACGUCUAUAUUAAACAGUACGGUCAUAUAAAAAAGGCUACGGCCGAAAUAAUGUGGUACGACUUCUUCCAUAAGUUAAAGGCCUUCUAAUACUUUGAAAAAACUGGUUAAAUCAGGCUACUCUCGGCAAAAGCUAAUAAAAAGGGCUUCAAUAAAAUCAGCCCUUGAAUAACUGAAAAGCUUCGAUAAUAUCAGCCUUCGAAAAAGCCUCAAGAGGUAUUCAAUUAUCAAACCAAACGGAUUACGAGUGAGGUUUCAAUCGAUCAAACCUUCGAAAAACCCAACAGGUACAAAAACACAUGCUAAGGCAUAAAGAAAUUUUCAUUAAGUCUUUUAGCCGAAAAGAGGGAAAAAUUAUAGCCAUCUUAGAGGCCAAAGUGGCCCAACUUAAAGAGCCUAAGGGUCGACCUAAAAGAGCCUAAGGGCCAAUAUAAAAUAGCCUAAGGGCCGAAGCAUGUGGAGUUCGAGACCUCACUCUCACUCAAUUCGGACUCAAGAGUCCCGUCAUCCAGAGCUCGCAUCAAAUCAACUUAAACAUAGCUCGAGGAUUAACAAAAAACCUUAAGAGGUACUUUAUUAUAAGUUCUAAGAUCACCCAUUGACCACUAAAAAACCUAAGGGUUUAUUCUACUCUGAGUCCGAGCCUCUGCUCACUCAAUCAUUGAAGUUAUAACAUAAAAAAUUUCACAAAAUGAAGAUGGAGCAGAAUUUAACACAAAGAUGAAGAGGAAAGGAAGGGAAUUCCUUAUAUUUAUAAAAGGUAUUUAUAGUGCCCACGAGGAGCCUUACACAAAAACAAAAAUUUAAAAACCUAAGAGCCCAAUCUGCUUUGGGGGCCGCAUCCUUGGGAGCCGCUCCCUAGGGAGACUCAUCAUUGGGAGCCGCAUCUUCGAGGACUUCAUCCUCAUCUCCACCGCUCUCGGAACCACUAGCUGAGCCUUCGUCGUCGGAGAGAAAAGUGGCAGCCUCGUCCUCUACAGCUUUUGCAUUUUCAAUAUCAGCUGAGAAGUCAAAGCCACAAGCGUGUACCUUCUCCAUAGUUUCUCUCCGGGAUUGUAACCUGGCAUGAUUGAGAGCACAAAACAAUUUGACUUCAGAAGAAAUAGAGAUCUCAUGUGCCCAAAUAUUGGCAGCUUUGGCGUCAGCUUGAUAAGAAGCCACAAAUGCCUCUGCCUCGGAUUUAGCCUUUGCAAGCUCGGCGACUGAUUUAGCUUCGAGCUCCUCAAUCUUUAAGCUCUGGACCAAGCUUUCCCCUUGUGAAUUUUGAAGCUGGCAUUCCAUUGAAGCUAACUGGGCCGGAAGCGUCUCUUUCUCCAAGGCAAGAUAGUCCAUUUGCUGCUUCCACCCCAGGGUUUCCGCCUCUUUCAACUUGAUCUCCUCUCGAAGCUACUUCACUAGCUCGCCUUUCUGCUGAGCUUGCAAAAUUAAAGGCGUUAGUCACCAAAUAAAAUAAGCAUGCAGCUAACUUCCAAAAAGAACUUGCAUUACCCGCUCAAUAAGCUCAAUAUGUUCUUGAUGGGCCUUCGCCAGUUCGGCUCGAAGAUCACUGAUCUCGCCCUCUUUUUUGACAUAGAGGAUCUUAAAGUUGUCCCUCUCUUCAGCGAGCUUCUUGAGUUCUGCCUCAUAUCGAGCAAGCUCAGCUCGAGACUUGGAAAAUUCUUCUCGAUGGAGUGUCACAGCCUCUACAAAAGGAAAAAGUAGACUCAUAACAACAAAGAUAAAGCACAAGCGUAAUUUUAAGGGCAGAAACUUUCUUGUUUGAAGAGCUGCUAGGACUCAUCAAAAAUAAAUGUAGAAUUUGAGUCGGGACCAUCUUUGACCCCUGAAAGGCACUCCCGUAAGAUAUCACUCCCUUUGUGGGUAAUUCCCACAUCGGGAGUUCUCAUGUUCUAGGCAUCUCAGAAUUGUCCCUCUGAGAACUCGGGACCAGGCGACGAUUAAUCUAUGUUGAUUAUCCCAAGUGAUCCACUAGGGAUAUUCUCUUCUCUUUAGAGGGCCUCGGAACCGGGCCCAUCGAUCUCACCCGCUAAAUGAACUCCAAGACGAGGUGCUCUUUUGCUGCUCGAUGGCUCGGGGAGUUUGAUCGAACUCCCCUCCGAGAUUUCUUUAGUUCGAGAAUGAACCGCAUCAGCCACCAUUGGUUCAGUGGUGUUUGAAGCAUCAGUGCUUCAUCUUUUCCGAGCUACCAACAGGCAACAAUCAUUUUCUCUCUCCCCAUCCCCAUCCCGAAUGCGUUGGGACGUUUCUAGAGAUAGGGCCAAGGUAUCGUCCUUAGUCUUUCGAGCCUUACUUUUCUUUGGCUUUGGGGAACUUGCAGGUGACCUCAUUUUCCUCUUUUUUUCCUUGGUAGGCUUUGGGAUUUCUUCUUCACCGGGUGGGUACGGCUACAUAGCAAUAGUGUCUCCAAGGCUUGCAUAAUGAUAAAGUAAGUAUUUCACUAAGAAACACAAAUAUGUGAACAAGAGAACUCAUCGUGGUUCUUAGCUUCCCACCAACCCUUGGCCAAAUCACGCCAACUCCAUUCUGCCUAUGAAGAGGUGGAGGCCAGUUGUCGGACCUAACCUGCGAGUUUCGGGACCGCUCCAGGAAACCAAGAAACAGCUACAUCAUUAUAAAGGGAUUAGAUUGAGUAAAGGAUGAGAUCGAGAAAGAGUAGGGAAAGCAGAAUAUUAAGUCAUCAUCAAUAAAUUUGUACUUACGUUUCAUGUUUCAUUCUUUGGGGAAUGGCAUUCUCUCAACAGGAAUCAGAUUGGAGGUCCUGAUUCGGACAAACCGGCUCGUCCAUCCUCGAUCCUUAUCCUCAUCGAUGCUAGAGAAAAGGGAUUUCGUGGAUCGGCAUUGCAGCUUUAUCAUACCACCUCAAUAAAGGUGAGGACUAUAUAGCCUGAUCAGGUGAGCGAGGGUAAAAGGCAUCCCCUCGACCAGGCCCGAGAAAUAUAUGAUCAAAUUGACGAUGCGCCAGAAUGAAGGGUAGAUCUGGCCAAGCGUUACCUGGUAUUGUUGGAAAAAAUCAAGAAUCACUGGGUCUAUGGAACCCAGAGCUGGAUCUACGGGACCCAACAUGAAUGGAUAGGUAUACACGCUUAAAUACACGCCUUAUGGGUACUGAUGUCUUCUUCGGGGAAAAGGAUCACAACAUCUUUGUUCUCCCAGUUGUAGUCCUUUUUCACCUGCUCAAGCUCACCUUCAGUUAUCAAGCAGAUGUAUUGAGACAUGGGCUCACAAUGACUUGGUGUCGAAGCAGGUUAAUCGAUUUCAAAAUUAGAAGUUAUUUCGCACAGCCCGGGAAUACACUCCUUGAUACGAGGUGGCACCAUCGUUCUACCUAUGGCCGGCCGAGAUGAUAAAGAAGCUUUUUCUUUCUGACGAAGAGUUUUAGAUGUUUUAACCAUUGAAUUUUAUAAAUUCAAGAGAGGAGAAGGAGUAGAUGUUGUAGUAAGAGUAAAUUGAGAAGAGGGUGAACUCAAAGAAGUUGAAUGAGCUAAAGAGAUUUUAAGAAUGAUUUGAGAAGUAAAGUUUGCAAAAAUUAUGAAGUUGGCCUAUUUAUAGAGGCCGCUUAAGCAUUUUGGGGAAGCCAAAUAGCCGACCAUCAGCCGCCUCCAAUUAAUGACCUUGGGAACUACGCGGAAGCGACUUUUCAAUCACUUCAGCCGCUGAUAUCACAAGAUUGACAUCAUGGCCGAGGCAUUGGAGCAUCGAAGAUCAAAUCAUUUCUUAUCAUUCUACUCUAAGAAACGCGAGGACUAUCUGUAUACGGUCGAAAUCAGGUAUGCCUGAUUUCCUGGGCUUGAGGGGUUGCCUUAAGCCCGAGUUUGGGAUGGAUUGAGUUCGAGCUUGAGGGACUAAGAUCGAGCUCAAGGACAAAGUAUGAGGCUCGAAGAAUCAAGUGUUCGAGGAAUGUCAGAACCUAAUGUUAUUGGCCUCGAGAUAAUACCGUUAUGAAUUUGUAACAGAAUGAGCAAGAUUCCUUCCAUGUCCCCAAGAUUAUGGCGUAAAUCUCGAAAUAGAUUUGUACGAAUCCGUACUAGGCAGUUAGACAGUUGUCCCAAUAAAAUUCUUUACUGUAAAUAGAAAUGUAUCUUAUUUAGGGUUCCCCUAUUAUAUAAAGGGGACCCCAAUCAUUUGUAAACAGGAUCCAAUAAUUAGAAAAAAAUAUACUCUCUUACCUUUUCGCUCAUUGUUCAUCAUAAUUCUCCUUUAGCUUUAUAAUUCUUGCUUUAUUGUUCUUGGUCCAUCUCGAGGUCACAUUGGCUCGAGGUCGAUACUGCCUAGUAACACUGGUAUGAUUUACUCAUUUCUUUCAUUUACACAUCAUACUUCUUGAUUAUUAAUUAAUAUUGAACUAAAUCACGUUCUUUAAAACCACAAAUCAAAUUUAAUUGUUACUCAUAUUUUCGAGGUAAACACAAGAUGUUAGGACCUAAAUAAUCAGGUGUCAUGCGCAAGCUAGUAAAGUAAAUCUUAAAUGACGAUAAAGCACCCAACAAAAGAGAAAUAUACCAAAAGAGACACAACCAUUUUAACGUGGUUCGGCCAAUUGACCUACGUCCACGAAGGAGAUGAGUAAUACACUAUAUAUAAGAGAGUACAAAAUAUCGAGAGUACAAUCUCACAAAAAGGCAAACAUAAGUGAUAUACUAACACUAGUCCCGUAAAUUUCUCCCCCAUAAACAAGACUCUCAAACCCCAUAUGACUACAUUAUGGAUGUUGCUGAAUGAGAAGGAAUGAUCCUCAAUUUAUAGAAGUCCAAACAUUUUCCUACAAAAAAAAGGGACUAGCCAAAUAUGGAAGAAUUAUAAAUUUUUUUUUGUAAAAGGAAAAAACAAUUAUGGUAAAUAUGUUGUUCUUCCUUCAAAAGAUAGAAAAAUCAAAUAUGGUAAGAAAAUCAAGACAAAUAUGUAAUAAUUCUUCCCUUUGGCUUGAAUUUUCUGACAAAAUAAACUUGAUCCACCUUCGUCUCAUAACCUUCAACAUGUCGGAUCUCCAAAUCUCCACCACAAAGUUUUUCUCAAUGUGAGUAGCACUCCGGUAAAAUUUCUCAGACAAAAAUCAUGAUUACCGGCAAAUAAGUUGCGGCUAGAACUGAACCCGCCAGAUAAACCUGUCUUGAACUACACUCUAAUACCACUUGUUAGGACCUAAAUAAUCAGGUGUCAUGCGGAAGCGAGUAAAGCAAACCUUGAACGAUGAUAAAUCAAACAAAAAAAGAGAAAUAAACCAAAAAUGACACAAACAUUUAACAUAAUUGGCCAGUUGACCUACGUUCACGACGGAGAUCAUCCAUCCACUAUAUAAAAGAGAGUACAAAAUAUCUAGAUAAUAACCUCACAAAGAAGCAAACACAAGUGACACACUAACACUUGUCCCGUAAAGUUCUCCCCUAAAUUAACAAGACUCUCAAACCUUAUAUGGCUAUUUUGUGGAUGCUGCUGAAUAAGAAUGAAAGAUCCUCAAUAUAUAGAAGUCCAAACUUUUUCCUACAAAAAAAGGUACUAGUCAAAUAGGGAAGAAUUAUAUUUUUCUUUUCGUAAAGGAAAAAUCUAUUAUGGUAAAUAUGUUGUCUUUUCUUCAAAAGAUAGAAAAACCAAACAUGGUAAAAAUUUAUCUCCAUUCCGUAACAAAACUCAGAUAAAUAAUAAUUUUUCCUCUUCCUUGACAUAAUAGUGGCGACCUUCAUGGGCCAACAAUGGUAUGUCGAGGAAGAGGCAAACCCGAAAUAAAGAAGAUAAAAAACACCAAAAUUUAACGUAGAAAACCCUUCAAAUCGAAGGUAAAAACCACGGGAUCACAAAGAUUCAAAAAGAUCCACAAUAAAAAUAAAAAGGCUACAAUUUUUUUAAAAUUGUCUACACAACAAGUGUCAAAUGUAGCAACAAUAUUAACAAGAGAAACAACAAAUCAAGGUAAGAAAGAAGAGAAGUCACGAAAAUGGAGCUGUAGUUCAGAGCCCAAAAUCUUAUGUUACGUGUCUCCAUAUCUGAUCUUAACCAUUCGAAUUAAAUAUGAAGAUGUUAGAAAUACUUUGUCAAAAUUUUAAUACGAUCCAACGGUUAACGAAUUGCAAAACAUAAUUUGAAGUUGGAUGGUCGGAAUACAAUCUGCAUCAAAACAAACACUUUUUCUUCUCUCUUCUCUCUUGAUAAAAGCUCUCUCAAAAAUCACUCUCAUGUACUAAAGUCUUUCAAAUACUUAUACAAGUGAGCAUAGAACAAUUUUCCAAUGUUGUCCUUAUAGACUAUUAAAAUUUUAUUAAAUUUAAAUCCAUAAAAAAUUUGUAUUUUAUCUUAAAAUUAAACAUAUAUUAGUCCAAAUAAAUAUUAUGGACUAGUAUAAUUGGGUUAAUUAUUUAAAUCUAAUCAAAUUGAUUUAAAUAAAAGUCCUAUACUAUUGGACUAGCCCAUUAGUUGGCUUUUUAUCAAAUAGGUCGGCCCAUGAGCCCCAAGUCCAAUGGCCCAGUAGGGUUUUCUUGGAGGCUACUCCACCUUACACCUAUAUAAAGGGGUCAAAGGACAAGGCUAGAGGAAAAUAAAGUAAGCAGAAGGAAAGGCUAAAGAAGCUCUGAAGAAUAGCAUCAGGUCUCCAUCCAUGUCUGCAAUCGUCAUUUGUGGUCAAAUAUCAAAGGUGAACUCAAAUCAUAUGUGGACAGCUUCAAAUCUUCCGUUCGUGAUAACCCGACACCAAAGCCUGGUUCGUAACGACCUUCAAAUUGUUCGUGACGUACUACAUAUUUGAAAUCCGUCAAGUUCAAGAUCAAGCUCUCAAGCUCUUGAACAAUCAUUCGUGAGGAGAAGAAUCAAAGGAUUACAUCUCUUUAGAUUUGAAAUAUUUUAGAGACUGUAACCCCAUCAAUUGAAAUCAAAAAUAAUAUUUAUUGCUAUAUUUCUUGUCUUGAUUAUUAUUUUUCAGGUGCAAAAUUAGUUGUUACAGUCCUAUUUAUAGAUGAUGAGUGGUUAAAGUCAAAACUAACUCUAAAUAGGAAUAAAAACCUAAUCCAAUUCCGAAUAGGAAUGGAAACCAAAAGAGAAUAGGAUUAAGCUAUUGGGCCUUUGGCUAGACACUAUGGGCACCCCUCCAGCCAAGGGGUCAAAUAUAUCUUAAAGUAGAGAAACUAUUGCCAUGCUUCAUGCCUGCCAAUUUUCUACAAAGCAUAUGCUUAUCUGCAAGUUUAACUACGAAGUCCUCAAGCUACUCCAUAUAAAUCUUCUAAUCUAAAUCAUCAUGAAGAAAAGUAGUCUUGACAUCCAUCUGGUCAACCUCUAAAUCUAUACUCGCUGCUAAGCCUAGAACCACACGAAUAGAAGACAUCUUCACAAUAGGGGGAGAAAUACUUUAUCAAAGUCAACUCCCUUAUUCUGGCCAAAACCUUUAACAACUAACCUCACUUUGUACCUGGGCGCAAAGGUAUGAUUAUCUUGCUUUACUCUGAAUAUCCAUUUGUUUGAUAAAGCUUUCUUACCUUUUAGCAAUUCUACCAACUCAUAUGUGCCAUUCUCAUGGAAUGACUUCAUAUCAUCUUCCAUGGCUUCUAUCCACUGAUCUUUGUGAGUAUCUCGCAUGGUUUCAUCAUAAUUCUCAGGUUCUCCCAUGUCUGUCAAAAGUACGUACUCAUUAGGAGGAUAGUGUAUGGAUUUUUGUUUCUCCCUUGUAGAUCUUCUAAGAGAGGUUUCAAGUACAUUCAAAUUAGUUACCUGAGCAUGAAUUGGUUGUUGAUCAACUACAACUUCAUCAACUGGAGCAUCCAUAACAUCUACACCAUGAUGAUUAUUUGAUCUUGAUCACUAUCUUCAUUAUUAUCUUGGGUUCCUUCAUAUGCAAUAGGUGCCUUGGCAAUAGAAACUAGAUUAAUAUCAACUAAGAUCUCAUUACUAUGAGAAUCUAUCUUCUCAGCUUUGUCAAUAUCUUCAAUAGUCUGGUCUUCAAAGAAUAUUCCAUCACGGCUUCUAAUAAGUUUAUUGUCAACAUGAUCAUAAAAAUGAUACCCAAACUCAUCUUGACUAUAACCGAUAAAGAUGCACUGCUUAGUUUUGACAUCCAAUUUCAAUAUCUCAUCUUUAGGAAUAUGCACACAAGCUUUACACCCAAAAGCUCUCAAGUGAUCAUAAGAAACAUCUUUGGCAAACCAAACUCUAUCAGGGACAUCACCAUCCAAAGCAACAAUAGGAGAUAAAUUGAUAAUGUAAGCAACAGUAUUAAGUGCUUCCAUUCAAAAUGUAUUUGGAAGUUUAGCCUAUGAAAGAAAGUAUCUAACUCUCUCAACUAGAGUUUUAUUCAUCCUCUCUGCUAAACCAUUUAAUUGAGGCGUCUUUGGCAGAGUUUUCUUAUGAAGAAUUCCUUUUUCUUUGCAAUGUAUCAAAGCGACCACAAUAUUCACUACCAUUGUGAGUACAAACACAUUUUAAUUUCUUCCACGUCUGUCUCUCAACUACGGCCUGAAAUUUCUUAAACAUGCCAAAUGCUUGAUUUUUAGAUUUCAAAGGAUACACCCAGAGUUUACGAGAAUGAUCCUCAAUGAAUGUCACAAAGUAAAGUGCAUCACCUUUUGAAUUUACCUUAAAAGUACCAUACAAAUCAGCGUGUAUUAGCUCCAAUAAUUUGGGCUUUCUUGAAAGAGGAUGGCUAUAAAAGCAAACCUUUUUCUGUUUUCCAGCUAAACAAUGAACACCUUUUCAUCUUUGUUGGUUCUAUCCAAAAAGCAAAUAUUUCUUAGCCAAACACGUAAUCCCUAUCUCGUUCAUAUGACUCAGUCUUCUGUGCUACAAUUUUGAUAAAAUGUCACUUUCUACAAGAUUUAUGGAGUCAUUAAGAAUAAAGCCCUAUGUCACAUAUAAUUGAGAAGACUUGACUCCUCGAGCCACUACUAAUGAGCUUUUGGUGAGGUUUUAAUUUGCCAUUAAAGAGGGCAUUAUGGUAACCUUCACCAUCUAGUCUUCCUGCGGAGAUCAAAUUGAAAGGAAAGUGGAGCAUGCUUGACAUUCUGAAGAACUAACAUUGAACCAUUGUUAGUUUACAAACAAACUGUGCCAACACCAAACACCUUAACUUCACUAACAUUGCCCAUAUUUAACACUCCAGGGUCAACGGGAGUAUAAGAUGAGAAAAAGUCUUGUCUUGGUGUGACAUGUGAGGUAACUCCAGAAUCUACUAUCCAGCUCAUCUCAUGGGAUACCAAAUUGAUGACAUUUUCAUCAUAGGAAAAAAAGAAGGUCAACUUUCUCGUUAUUUUCAACUUUCUUUCCUUCUCUAAUGUCUCGCUUCAACUUGUGGUAAUACUUUUUGAUAUGACCUUUUUUGCCACAGUUGUUCCAUAUAAUAUUAUGGUAUUUAGACAUUGACUUACUUCUACUUUUACCUCUAUUCCUCGAACCUCUUGUUCUAUCUCUCCCUCGAUUUUCUGUAACCAAGAUAUGUACUUGUGAUGACGAACCCUGAUAUUUUCUCCUUACUUCCUCGUUGAACACACCACUCUUGGCAUAUUCCAUGGUCACCUUACCUCCAUGAGUUGAAUUUGUCAAAUAAACACAAAGAGUUUUUCAAGAGUCUAGUAAAGUAUUAAGAAGCCGAAGUUCUUGUAUCUCAUCAUUAAAAUUAACUCUCAUUUCAGACAAUUGAUCAAGGACGCGCUAAAAAUUAUUUAUAUGAUCAACGAUAGGACUGCCCUCUAUUGAUACCCAAUUCUUUCCAAAAAUAUUUUAAGAUUGCAUAUAUACCUUCAAAAUCAUGCAUUAAUAGCAAUUGGUAUUUUUCUAUAAUUUUUCUAUAUUUUUAUUAAUUUAUCCAGCACUUUUGUUUCCAAUAAAUAAUUACAAAAUGGCAUUACAAAUGAUUUCAGAAGCAUCUCUUGAUUUAAUUUAUUAUUUAUGGUCUUAUUUGAAUCAAAUUAUUUCAUAAUUGGCCAAACUGGCAUCCUUUGGCUAUAAUUGCAGUAACUUUGCAAUUAUAGCCCAAUCAUACGAUUUCAUACUAUUUUUUGACCUGAAAUUAAUCAUUUGUAUUUUUAAAUACCAAGUAAUCUUUUUAACUAUUUUUCUAUGCAUGAAAUUCAUUAUGUACAAUUAUCAUCUAUUUUUAUAAAUUGUUUUAUUUAAUUUAAUUGGGUAUUUAACAAAUAGCCCAUUUUAUUUCAAUUUUAACCCAAUUAAACCAGCCCCAAACCCCCAAUUAAAUCAUCCCAAUACCCCAGGCCCAAACCCAAUCCUACCCGACCCAAUUCCGUCCAAAUCCUGGCCGUUGAUCGUUUCUGAUCAACGGACCAGAUUAAUCCCUUCCUUAAUUAACCUAAAAGACUACCCCCCCCCCCUACAAACCCUCAUUUUCUAUCCUUCUCUCAUCACUCUCUGCCGUCUCAUCCUCUCAUUCUCUCUCAAGCCCUCUACACCUAAGCUUCUACUCGCCGGUCGUUGGCUCGCCGGUAUCAAUGGUGGUUCCACCACCACCCCUAGCCUCCAUGGUUCCCCUCACGCACCGGAUUCUUGUCAUCUCGAAGGUCCUCAAGGGACUGGUGGCUGCUCAACUCACACCUAUGGUCUGUGCUCACCAUUCUCAGGCCACCUUGUCCCGUCCGAGUAAGAUCUUUCUAUUUUCUGACUAGAUCUAUAGCUUCUAAGCCGCAAUCUCUCCAUCUCUGGGUUAUAUCUCUCUGAAACCCUAACUCAUCUCUUGACUCUUCCGAUCUACCAUAGAUCUGAGUAUAUUUUGAGUUAUUCCUGCAGUUUACCAUGAUAAACUCUCCGAUUUUUCAAAACGCCUCUUCGUCUUCAAAACUAGAGUUUCUUAACCCCUUUUUAUUACUUUUCCUCUGAUUUUCAGUAUUAUUCUAUAAUUUUUACUAUGUUUAAAUGGUUUAUUUAUGUUUUCUUUUAUCUGAUUCAUCAUGUUGGAAACCCCUAAUUUUUUUGGCUUUAGUCUCGGAUUAUGAGAUCGUCUUUACGAUUUGUCAUUCGAUUUGCCUGUAUGUUUAAUUCUCAUGAAUAUGCCGCGAUUAAUUAGAGUAUUUUUAUGGUUUUUAUCCUAGUAGUAUCUUGUUAAGGUUUUCGAUUUGGUUCUUCCUGUUUAUACUCUGUUUAUUAGUUUAUUCAUGGAAGUCUAUUUUCCUUAAUAUUAGUACUAUUUUUCGAUUCUUGAAUCCUUGAUUUACUGUGUUGAUACUCUUAUAUAGAUUUCUGGCUAUUUUUCCUAUCCCUUAAAUUAUUUUUUUCCUUAUUAUGUGGUUGACCAUAUUAUUAAUUGAUUUCUACUGUUAUUUCCUUAAUUAGACCCUUAUGUAUCUAUCCCUAAUUCACACAUUCUGUACCUAUGUUUUUUGAAUUCUUUCCUUAUUUGUUACCUACUUUCUACCAUAGGUAAAUUACUCCCUUAAUUAAGCGAUACUUGGCUGAUUUUCGUUCUUAAUUGAUUUUGUAGUUCUAUAAUUGCUGAACAAUUGUUUCUUGCCUUAUUUUACCUAGCUUUCAAACUAUUAUAUAUACUCUCUUCUCUUUUCAUUACACACACGAACAAAUUUGGUUCAAAACUCUCUCUCACACACUAAAAGCUCUCUGCCCUCUUUGUGAUUACUUACUACUGUUCUAAGUUAGCCGGCUGCAAGCCAAGGCUAAUUAUUGUGCUCUCCUAUUCUUCACUUUUGUUUACUGUCACUUUACUAGUAUGUCCUGAUUUCAAUUAAAGUUCCAAAACCAAUAUAUUUCAUUUACUGCUUCAACUUAUCAUGUUUCUGAUUUGUUUCUAUCUAUGGUUCUGUUGUUCAAAGUGUAAUUGACAUGCAUGUAUUACGGCUUCAUGUAGCAUGCUAGUUCUGCUCCCCUAGUUGUCUGUUUCAAUAUGACCCUAUCCUACUUUGAAUACUUGUUUACUUGUUGUCUAGUUUUGACAUGCACUUUCUUUGCAAACUGAAUUGUCACUUUAGAUGUCUGAUUCUAUGAUUGCUUCUGAAUCUAUACUGUGUUGAUAUCACUAGCUAUUCCCUAAUCCCAUAAACCCUCACAAGGAUUGUUAUGCUCCUGUAACUAUGUGUUUACUCACAUGACCUAUGUGUCCCCAAAUCCCUUGACCCCUGUUUGUGGGUGUUGAACCUGCCUUUGUUCUAUGAUCUCUGGCUAUAUAUGAACCUAUUUUGGGGGGUGUUGUGUUUGGACUGUUGUUUACUACUCCACUCUCUUUUCGAAACUGUAUCUAUUAUCUUUUACAGAACUAUUUCAAACAAGUCCCUUUUCAAACUGUUUCCCUGCUUAAAUCUUUUCAAACAUUCUCACAUCUACUCAUAGUUUAAGUUUUGCCCCUCUAAUGUGUGACUGCUUAGGGAUCCCUAUGAGAUCCCUUUGAACUCUGAUACAUUAGAACUAGCCCUUCUGUACUGCAUUUACUCAACUAUGACUAUGAAAUCUGGGUGUGAACACUGCCCGGGAUCCCUUGAGGUCCUUAUGGAACUCUGACACACCUGAAUUAUAUGAAAGGCUAUGAGGCAAUCUGGCAUUGGAACUUUUGGAAAUCUGGGCCUAUUGGUAGGAUCCCUAUAGAGUAACUUCUUAUUUUUCUUAUCUACUUAUUUAAUUCAUUCGAUAUUGGCCUGUAAUAAUUUGUAAACGAAUAUGGGGGUUGAAUAGUGAAAAAUGGCAGGGUAGCUAUACAUGUUAUCAAUAUCAAUGGGUAGAAAAUAUGCUUUAGGUUUAUAUCCUCCUGUAUCUGUAUUAGAACUCAUGAUUAGGACCAAUACAUGCAAAGCAUAUCAUGUAUUAGAAACCAUGCUCCUAGGUUCCAUGUCUACUACCUUCAGCAUUUCAUUUUGACAUCUAUAUUAUCACAUAGAAAUCCAGUUUCUAGGAUAAACGACAUUAAAGAUAAACUAUCACCUAUGCAUUUUGAAAUCAUGUUAUAACCUGCUGUGCAUUUAGAAAUCAUGCUUUAGGAAUUCUUUACAUGCAUCUUAGAUACCAUGCUUUAGGAUCUCUUUCGUACUUGCUCAGUCAUACAUAGUGUAAACUACUGAUUAUGAAAGAUGUGAAAAACAACUUCACAUUCAAUUAUCUUGUUUAAAAUAAAUUGGUAAUAAUUCCUGUAUUUUAUAACACUUAGAACAGUAUGCUUUAGGUAAAAUAACUCCUUCAUUAUUCUAAUAGUUCUGAUAACAAUUGUGCAUUAUCUUACCCCUAGGAAAGCCUUAGGUAAUCCAAUUUCUUGUAAAACUGGAAACUGCCCCUUUGUGUGUACUGCUUAAUAAUUAACAUGCUUAAUAUCAGUAGGCAAAUUGAUUAGGGCCCCUGCUUUUGAGUUAUAAAAUGAACCUGCAUAUCUACUGUGUUCUGAUACUCACCUAGACAUCAUGUCUUAGGAUACUGAUUAACAAUAAGGCCCUUAUUUAUGUUUGACUCGUGCUAUGUGUGUUAUUUGAGGAGGUGAACUUGAGCCUCUAAUUUCUCCUUUUCUGUCUUAUGUGCUAAGGUCCUAAUUGUUCUUGCAUGUAGCCUUAGUCUUUUAUCCUUUAAACCUUAGGGGUCUGUCUAGAACUACCUAUAGGUAGAGGUCCUAAAUUUUCUCUAGGACCAUUAAGAAGGGACGGGUAACAGCACACAGUAGAGAUCGCUAACCAACACUCGCAUUAAUAACCACUAAGGGGGUGGGAAGGGUAGAUAUUGGAUAUGAUAACUAUGCGCUAAUGUCACGUGUAGCCCCUCAUUGAAGAGUGUUUACCGGACAUUGUGUGGGGUGAUCCUAUAGGCUAACCAACCUAGGACUCCUCCUUUCCCAAAAGUCCUUUUGUUUAAAACUUUGUUUUGUAUGUAUACACCUUGUUCAAAAUCAUUGCCUUGUUAUUUGAGUUAUACAACGUCCAACGUGCUUUACUUGCAAAAUAUUUGAUUCAACUAUUUACUUGUUAAUGGACUAAUUCGUAAGUAUAAGUUCGGUCGGGACCCACGGUUGUGAACCGAGAGGGGUACCUAACACCUUCCUCUCGAGGUCAUUUCGAGCCCUUAUCCUAAUCUCUGGUAAUGCAAACCAAUCCAAGAUUUAAUCGCUCUAGGUGUCCUAAUGCACCAUAACCCGUUAGGUGGCGACUCUUCAAAUACCCAAUUCCCAAAAGGAAAUGAUUUAUUACCCCCAUGAAUGUCGAAACCCAGACUCUCUCCGUGGAGGGAAAAAAGGGAGGCGCGAUAGCAUGGCGACUUUGCUGGGGAUACCUUUUAGGCUCUUACCAUAACGAAUUUAUCUUUUUAUGAAUUAGUCCAAUCAUGCUUUAUCCUGUACCCUUCUCCCUUAUUUGAAUUUAACUAUCCAUUUUUUAAGCGUUUAUGGUUUUUUAUCCCUGAAACUGACUUGUCCCUUUGUUUUCUUUUUUCCUGUAACUGUCUUUCAAUUAUUUAAAUGCUGUAUUUAUUUUCCUACGUGCAAAUACUUGAGUACAUGCUAUUAAUUGCUACAUAAAUUAUGCUCUGCAUCAUAUUCCACUCAUGUGUAUCAAAUCCCAUAACAACGCUUUAAUGAGUGGUUGCGCUCUUCCUAUUUACUACCCUUAAAUUCAGAAAGUCUUAUUUGCGGUAAACCCAUUCGAUCAACGGUGCAGUCAACGGUUCCGCGCCUUCCUCCUCGAGUUGUCCUCUUGAGGGUACCAAUCUAAAACCCCAUAAAAACCUUACUCUGGUGAAAAUUGUGCAUGCAUCAUGGUCAAACCUAGUCGGAUCAGUUAUGUUGUCCACAUAAUAAUGUUUUAAGAUAAGCCUUAUCCAAAGUCCAUCGGGUUUUCCAUAAUCCCAACGGACAUAACCACAUUCCGUGCAUUAAUUUGGAGAACUAAAUGCCGAUAUGUUGAUCAUAAAUGUAUAAAUAGUCAAGUCCGAUAGGGGUAAGAUCUUUUGUUUUGCAAAAAAAAGUGGCACGAGGUCCCCAUAUUCGGUAUGGUUAGCAAUAUCCCACCAUUGCUGCUAGAUUAGUGGGAGGACCUUUCCUCAAGUGACAAGAAACAUCUGAGAAAGUACCUGGGUAACAUGCCUUCCUUGCUAGAUAUUGAGCCAAACAACAAACUGAUCGAGUCUGCCACUGUAUUCUGGGAUAGUGAAAGGGCUGUGUUUUGUUUCGGCGACAUAGAAAUGGCACCGCUUCUAGAGGAAAUUGGAGGGCUUGCGGGAUUGACUUGGGACAGUCCCGGGCUAUUGGUACCAAAAAACCAUACGGGCAGAGGUUUUUUGAAGAUGAUGGGGCUGAAGAAGAAUGUCGACCUAGUGUGCUUAAAAGAAUCCUACAUACCUUUUGAAUACCUAUACGAGAGGUAUGGCCAUAGCAAGUCUUUCCGUACUUACCAUGAUAAGAUCUCUCUCACUUCUUUGGGUCACAUCUACCGCAGAGUGUUUGUAUUCAUUGUGUGCUUCCUAGGCCUGAUAGUGUUCCCAAUGAAAAAGGGAAGAAUCUACACUAGGUUGACCAUGGUCUCCAAGACUUUGAUGGAAGGGAUUAAUGGACAGACAUAUAUCAUAGUCCCCAUGAUCAUAACCGACAUCUAUAGGGCUCUGGAGCGCUGUCAAAGAGGGGUCAAGCAUUUCGAGGGUUGUAACUUGUUGCUGCAGUUAUGGUUGUUGGAGCAUUUCCAAAAGGAUCGCUAUCGCCAAGAAUUUCCGCAAAGGGCUUGGAAUGACCAUAUUUCCUUCUAUCACCCCAAGCAGAUGGCUUACAUUCCAAACAGAUUUGCUCAGCCGGAAAGUGCCAAAGAAUGGGUAGAGUUCUUCAACAAUCUGACCGAGGAACAAGUGCAGUGGAUGUUUGAAUGGUUCCCAACAGACGAAUUUAUUAUCAUAUCUAGGGAUGCUCCGCACUUGGUGUUGAUCGGGUUAAGAGGGAUAUACCCAUAUGUCCCUAUGCGAGUUAUGAGGCAAGCAGGCAGAAAACAGGUUGUACCAAGGGUUGUCAAGAUGAGUCAUUUCAGGGCAGACUUUCAAGAUGACGAUGUCCCUUAUAAGUGUCAAGCUCAGCACAUGUGGCACUGCAAAAUCAUUGUGGAGAAGAACACUGUUGAGCCAGACAAGUAUCAUGCAGGGUGCCAACCUCUCUACCCGGCAUGGUUGGAGGAUAAUCUGAAAGGAAUGUUGACACCAGGGGCCGGUCGAGGGAACAGAAUCAUAGAUGAGGAAGUUGAAUCUCAAGAUAAGUACAACAGGCUGCGCAAGAGGGUCCACGACUCUGAGAAUGAGCACCGAGAAAUACAUGAGAGGAAUGCGAGGUUGAUCAAAUGGAAAGAGAUGGCAGUCACUUCCAACAGGAAACUGGAAUAUCUAGAGCGAGGAAUAGUAGAGCUGGAAGGUAAAGUCACAAAGAGGAUUGAAAUUUGCCAGAACGCUAAAGGAACUGAAGGAGGACAUUUGGCCAGAGCCUACUUGCUGCUGGGGCUGCGCGAUCUGGGGAAUCUGUAUAAUGGAGUCCAGAAGAUAGAAUUUGGGGAAGGUCCUUCUGGGACCAAAUAGGCUAGAUUUACCUGCUUUUCCUAAAAAUGUAAUAAGGCCAAGUGCCAGUAGUGACUUAUUUCAUUAUUAUCUUAGUGUUGUUUUGGGAUUCGUCUAUUUUUAUAUUAUGAAAUAAAGCAUUUAUUAGCAUUAAAAGUUCUCCAAAUCUAUUUCUCGCUAGGCCUACCUCGGGCACAAUGAGGUUCCCAAACUAAGACGCGAAUUUACAUUUCUGCAAUAUGUGUUUAAAUACUGCAAACAUUUCAGGAUCCUAACUGACUUGUUACCUUUUUUGUGUUUUGUUUAUUUUUUAUUGUUAUUCCCAUCCCCUUAGGUUGGUUCACUCAUACUGGCCUCAUCAGCAUACCACACCAGAUCUAGAGGCUUUCCACCUCCUCCUCCUCCAAGCAAUACAAAAGGCAUAGAAAAAGCAAAAAUGGACGACUUAAGUGGUAUCUGAAAGGAGAAUAUUGAGAACGCAAAAACCUCAGAUGGCCGUAGUACUCCGGCCCCAAAGGAUCUGGUCUUGAGACUGGAACAAAAGAUACGGGAACUGCAAGGAGAACUUGAGCAGGUUCGCAACUUAGCAAACUUGUCAUUCACCCUCAACGUCCCCGAUAUCCACCAACAAAACACAAAGAACCCAGCACCUCCUCAAAACACACAAAACCAACAGCCACAAAAUCCUACCCAUAUAUCAAACACCUCCACCCACAUAUCAAACACCUCUACCCACAUACCAACCAUCACCGCCUACAUAUCAACCUUCAUCUCCCAGAUAUUCCCAACUAACCACUGACCAUCACACCUAUAACUCCCAACUGUGAGAACGUAAUUUUUGCUUUAUAUGAAUUAUUCCCAUAAAUUCAAACAAAAUAAAUUUUUUCAUUGUUUGCAAUUUCGUGGAUUUUUGUAGCAUUUUUUUGAUUAAUUGUUUGCAUUUGUCUGUACACAUUUAUUUUAUUUAAUUCAUGAAAAAAUACAAAAAUAUGUUGCAUUUGCAUUUAGAAUUUAAUUUGGCAUUUUUAAAAUAGGUAAUAAUUUAGUUGUGUUACAAAAAAUAGAAAAAUUACAAAAAAUAACUCAUUUCUGCAUAUAGCGUCGAAUUUUGUAAUUUGUUUAAAUUUGGUAAUUAAUUAGUUAUGGUAAGUAUUAUUUUGAGUAAUUAAUCUAAUUUGGUAGGAUAAUUUGGUUUAGAAAUUAAUUUAGGUUCUAAAUUUUGAAAAGAAAAGAAUUUUUGAAAAUAAAAAUUGAAAGAAAAGGAAAAGGAAAUGAAAGGCCUGAUCUUUGGGCCAUUUUAAUUUGAUUUCAUCCAAGCCCAAAUCGAAUUUCAUCCAUUAACACAUCGAAAUUGGCCCAAAACCCAUUGUUUUACCCGGUCCAACUGGUCAGUCAUGGAGACCUUUGAAACGACAUAGUAUGGGGGCGAUACUACGUCGUUUCGAGUUCAUUGGUUCUUAAAUCGAUCUGAUCCCUUCAUAUCCUCUCAUCCAACAGUUGAGGGGGCUUCGUCAAAUUUUUAUAACAUUGUCCAAAAUUCCUCAGAAAACUGGUCAGUUCCCCAAACACCCUUCACUUCAUCUCCCUCAUCUCAAUAACCCUAAUCCGCCGCCCUUUCACUCGCCGGCGGCGCCGCCUCAGACCAACCUCCAACCACCACCAAAAUCCAGCCAUGCAACCAUCACCCUUCCCUGAGUCCUAAUCCACCACCACUUCUCCCCAAAUCCUCGCCAAAUCGGACCAGUUUUGAAUCUAAAAAUUGAAGGAAAGAAAAUCUUUCAAGAUUUUAGUUUUUUAUGAACAAUGCGGCUUGAAACUAGUGUUGUUCAUUUGUUCUCAAAGAGAACAUGCGGGUAAUACCAGUUUCGGGUCAAAUCGAAAUCGCCUGUCAAGCCCUAUCCGUAUGGCCAUCUA